rnacentral:lncRNA from 1 species
AAGCGACGAGAAGACAGAACUAAGCGAUGUGCACGAGUGUAUUCCCAUGUAUGCAGCAGCGGUGCGUGCGUGUGUAGCGAUGUAUGCAAGCGUGAGAGAAAGAAAGAGUAGAAGAAUGGAAGCUGGAAACAAAUUUCGACAAGGAAAAACAGAGUGCAGUUGAGGGAAGAUUUAUCAAUAAUGGAACCAACUAUGUUCUCGGCUGUGUGGAUGCAUGGGUGUAUUAAUGAUUGUACGCGUAUGUGCACACCUAUGUGCGUUUGUGUAUGUAUGAGUGUGCGGAGAUAAUGUCGACAGAUAUAUACUGACUGCACUAACGACAGUGAGAAAUAAGAGAAUAUCUAGAGAUGUAAAACUAGAGUGUGGUGGGUGAAAGACGGAGGAAAUAAAGAAAUAGUAAUAGGAUGAGAGAGAGGAGACGGGGGCAGUGAAACUGGAAAAACAGGGGAUCGAGUUAGAGUUGGAGAAGGAGACAGAGAAGUUAUCAUCAAAUGAGAAGCUGGAAUACGGGCUGAACGUAGCAAACGAAUGCACGCAUGCGCCACGUUUGCUGACCGUUUUAGGUUUGAAGUAAGCGCAUCGCUUUCACAAAUCUAAGGAAAUGAAGAUAUCUAUAGAUCUCUGGAAAGAAUCAACAACAACAACAAAAUCCAAGGGCAACAACAAGUUAAAUAUUUCAGCGUAAGAGAGAAGGGGACAGCGGGAGAAUGAAAGAGUGGGGAGUUGCAAACUGCCGAAAGAAAUUUUAUUUCGAAAACAACAACAAAAAAAAGAGGUAUUUAAAAAUGAAAAACAGUUAUGGAACAUGGUGUUAAAGUGAGGAUGACGACACAAAUUCGGCCAUAUUUUAAUUAGUGGUAUCAUAACUUGAAGAGACCAUCAGUCGUUAUACAGACAUCUUGACGUUCGAUGUGAUGUACAACUUGACGAAUAUGCAUGAGGAGACGCUAGUGACACAUUCCAACUAGAACUGAAGGUGAAUCUAAGAAGAUUGUAGAACAACUGUUUCUUUUCUGUCCAUGUUCGAAGAUAACGUUAGUGUGACUAAGGUGUUUGUAAGCAGUUGCAGCUUUUAAAUUCUAUGUUUUACCUACUUCAUUUGAAGUUUACUCUCGCAACCCGAAAAUUGAUUCCUUGGAACCAUCUGUGAAGAAUAAUGAAGAAUAUUUAAAAUAAAAUCCUAUUGUUUAAUUCUCAUUAUCUGCAAA